AUAGCGUAUAUUAAAGUUGUUGCCGUUAAAAAGCUCGUAGUUGAACUUCAGAUCUGGUUGAGUGGUCCACCUAACGGUGUGUUACUACUUGACUGGGUCUUGUCUCUUGGUGAACCGUUGUGUUCUUUAUUGAAUGCUUCGGGGAACCAGGACUUUUACCUUGAGAAAAUUAGAGUGUUCAAAGCAGGCCUAUGCCCGAAUACAUUAGCAUGGAAUAAUAGAAUAGGACGUGUGGUUCUAUUUUGUUGGUUCUUAGAGCUGCCGUAAUGAUUAAUAGGGAUAGUUGGGGGCAUUCAUAUUCAGUCGCUAGAGGUGAAAUUCUUGGAUUGACUGAAGAUGAACUACUG
rnacentral:rRNA from 1 species